GACUCCGUAGCUCAGUUGGUAGAGCAAUUGACUCUUAAUCAAUGGGUCGACAGUUCGAACCUGUCCGGGAUCACCA
rnacentral:tRNA from 1 species